rnacentral:rRNA from 1 species
GCUUACGGCCAUACCACCCUGAACACGCCCGAUCUCGUCAGAUCUCGGAAGCUAAGCAGGGUCGGGCCUGGUUAGUACUUGGAUGGGAGACCCCUGGGAAUACCAGGUGCUGUAAGCU